rnacentral:snRNA from 1 species
GGAUGUAAGGGCUAUCUGGCUGCAACAUCUGUCACCCCACUGAUCGCCAGGGUUGGCUAGGAGGGUGUCCCCUUCCUCCCUCACUGCUCCAUGUGCGUCCCUCCCGAAGCUGUGCGCUUGGUCAAAGAGGACGAACAUCCCCGACAGAGGAGAACUGGUCUUCGGUCAAGGGUAUACAAGUAACUGCACUCCCCUGCUAGAACCUCCAUUCAAGCUCUCAAAAAAUUGGAGAAAAAAAUUAGCUGCUUGG